UGGAUUCUUAAAGGAAGUAAAGGUUGGCCAGGCAGAAAACAGAGAAGGACCUUUUAAGCAAAGGCAUGGACACUGGAAAUAGAAUGAUGAAAUGGGGGAACUGCAAGUAGUUCCUGAAAUUAGGUUAGAAAUGUAAGCUGAGAAUAGAUCCUAAUAAGUAUUCCAUGAACUUUGGAUUUCAUUUGGAGCGUUUAAGUAGGGGAUGCUUUUGAAGGUCACUUUGGCAGUACUAUAGAGUAUGUUCUGGAAGAUUUUCAAACCUGGACAGGGAGGUUAGUUAGAAAUACACCAUAGUAGAGAAGAUGAUAAAUGAUCGAAGGCCAAAAGGAUUGGGAGUGGAGAAGAGGGGAUAGACUCUUAAAUAAGAGGCUAUAAAAACAUGGACAGUUCUAGAACAUGGAAAAAUUAAGGUGGUAAAGAGGGAAAAAUUAGGGCUCUCAGACGUUGGCAAAUGUGCAUCCACCUACUUCCAUUCCUGGCCUUGUUGAGAUCCUCUCGUGUUUACUUUUAUUAUUUUUAUGAUUGUUUAUUUAUUUAUUUUGAGAAUGAGAAAGUGGGAGUGGGGGGGGGAGGCAGAGAGAGCGGGAGAAAAUUCCCAGCAGGCUCUAUGCUGUCAGUGCAGAGCCCAACGUGGGGCUCCAUCUCACAAGCCGUGAGAUCAUGACCUGAGCCCAAAUCAAGAGUCAGAGGUUUUUCUGACUGAGCCACCCAGAGACCCCAUCCUCUCAUGUUUUUUAGAUGGGCAUUGCUAUUGAUUUCUUUUGGACCAGAGCUUGACUGUACAGAUUUGAUAAGUUUUGUUCUGGGAUGGCAGCUGUUAUAUGAAAUGUUGAUUCUCAGAAAGACGUCUGAACAGCUGUAGACCUCUAAUAGUAUUACUUAGUUCCUUGCCCUUCUCAUCAGUAGCAGGUUUCCCUCACCAUCACAUUGUCUCCCAAAGUCAGAGAGGAAGCUUUUCCCUCUAAAACCCACUCAGGGGAGAAAUGGCCCUAGUUGUGACUGUCUCAAUUGUUUUAUUGUUUGUUGAAUGAAAAACUGAAUCAUCAACAGACAUUAAUUGGGCACCUGCUCUGUAAUCUCCAUGGACUCAGCUUAGGGAUUUUACAACGUUUGUGGUUACAUCUCUAAGUAAAAUAUAUCCAGUAAUCAAAAAUCUAAACAUAUUCAGUAUUCAUUUCCUGUUUUCUCAAAGCAAUAUAAAAAUGUUCUGUGGACAGUUCUCCACCUAAGGCUCAGAGUAGUGACCUUAGGGAUUCAGAGAAUGGAUUCUGUGACUAGAAUGAUUAAUAGGAGAUUAUAUUUAAGUAGACCUUAUGUAUUUUCAGUGGACCUUAUGUAAGUAGCCAUCCUAGAGGGCAGUAGGGGGAAGAAGGAUUGGGAGAGGAAGCUCUGAGUAGGACAGCAAAGCGGGCCUUGGGACUAAAUAGCCUAGGCUCAAAUCUGCUCUUAAACUCACCAGUGUGGUAUUGAGCAUGGUUUUUCACCUCUCUGGGACUUGCCUUUCUCUUAUGUAAAAUAGGGGUAAUGGUCUUUUCUGCAUGUAAAAUGGGGGUAAUGGCCUUUUCUGUGAUGAUUUGGAUGGGGAUGGGGGUAGGUGUAAGGAUUUAAUGGGAUUAUUGUACAUUUCUUAGAACAAGUCUGGAAUGUGCCAAAUGCUAUUAUCAACUGUCAUUGCCACUAAUAAUGAUGUUGACCAUGUCUGGGAUUAAAAGGAGAUAGUUAACCAGAGGUGCUUAUGUUUUACAUUGUCAAUGAGGCUCUUCGGGUGUGAGAAAGAAAGGGAAACUAACUGGCCUGAAGGUUUUCAAUGGUAUGUUAGUAUGAAGUCAACUCUCUACUUUCUUUUUCUUCUCUGCCAAAUAGGUUGGGAAACCAGAUGAAUUUUGUCCAUGCCCUGAUCACUAAUCUAUUGCCUUUGCUCUUAUUUCCAAAUAGAAACCUGUUGAAAAGUUGUGUUACACCUGAAUAAAGGUUAUCCUAAAAAUGUAGAAAAGUGCUUUGGAGUUGGUCAAAACUGGACUUGAAACCUGACUCAACUGCUUACUAGCUGUGUGAUCUAAGACAUGUUACUUAACCUCACUGAACCUCAGUUUUUUCAUCGAAUAUAAUAAUUAAUUUGCAGGGUUUCUCUGAGGAUAUUUGUGAAGUGUAUGUCAUAAGCACUAAGUCAUAGCUGUCAUUGUUAGUUCUUGGGAUACUCACCACGUGACAGAAACAACAGCGGGCCCUGGUGGCUGGGAGGACUGCAUGGAUCCAACCUCAACCUGGAGUUGUGCUCUUCUGAAGAAAUCCUACUCGGAUGGAUAUAAUACAACCUGCUAAGUGUCCUCGCACUUAUCAGGUUGUAUUAUCAUUGUCCGUGUCUAUGGCUCUCGUCUACCAGACUCUAAAUUCCUUACAGGCAAGGACAGUGCCUUGUUCAUCUUUGUAUUCGAUGCCUAAUCCCGUGCACAUUGUAGGCCUCAUUAAAUGUUUGUUGAAUGAAAAAAUGAAUCAUCAACAGACAUUAAUUGGGCGCCUGCUCUGUGAUCUCCAUGGGCUCAGCUUUUCCCCGCCAGUUGCCUACAACGUCCAAGCUGUCUUCAAUAUGCUUUCUCCUGGAGCUUACUCCUAUCUUCUCACUCUCUUGCUGAGGACUUUUCUGUGUAGUACAAAGAUAGCAAGUACCAAAGAUCUCAAGUACCAUCUCCAAUCGGUCAAUAGUACCUGCCUCGAUUAUGUUUCACAAAAAGGAUGCUGAAGCCAGGUCUCACUCAGUUCAGUGUGAAAGAGAGUUAUAACUAAGUAGCUAUGUUUACUGAAGGUGGGAGAAGGGGGAAUAGCAGCCUAAGUGCCGCAUAUAUAUCAUAUUUAAUAUGUUUUCCGUGAAAUAUUCUGUUUCUAUGCCUGUAUUUUAGUCUUGGCUACUUGCAGAUGUUGCAUGCCUGCUGCUGCUGCUGCUGCUGCUACUACUACUACUACAGUUGCUGCUGAUUGCUCCUUGGGUAGGACCAAAGUGAUCAUUGAUCAGAAACUUCAUCCUCACAGUCUGGGGGUUGCUCCUGUGGCUGGUAUUCACAGUUUCCCUUUCAACUUUACCUCAGCUAUCCCCUUACCUACAGUGACAGGUAGGCCUCCACUUUCCGUUCACCACUCAACAGGCUCCUAUUUCCUUUUCCUUCUUUAGUCUGAUUAAUGACUCUUGUUCCAUGAGAAGCCUUCUUUCUGGUAGAAGAUGUGACAAAUAGAGUACAAGUUAAAUGAUUCCGUCAGGGCGCUACAGUGAGUCGUAUAAGCUGCCCUUUAAUGUGGGAGAAAAUGGAGUAUGCUUGCAGACUUCGGGGCAGGAAGGACAGAGAAGGAAAUCAUUGUUGAUGGGGGAAAGAAAGACACUAACAGAUGGAAUAAGUUCCUGAAAAAUGAUGGCAGAAGGGAGGGUGAAACCUAUGACUCUAAAAUAUAGGGAGAGAGAGCACCUCAGAUGAAAGGAAUUACCUCCUCGCUGGAGCAUAGGGAUAGGAGUUAGGAGAAACAUGUGACAAGAGUGUUGAAGAUUUGUAAUUGUUGAGGUGGAUGAUGGAGAGGAAGCUGACAGGAUUAUGGGACAGGGAUUAUGGGACAGAAUUAUGGGGACAAAUAAUCCAGGGACAGGAUUAUGGGGACAAAUCCAGGGACAGGAUUAUGGGACAAACCAGAGUCCAAGGGAUAUUUGGGCCAAAAGACUAGAGUGGGGCCUUUCGGUCUAUUAAAGUGAGAUACUAUUAUAUUAAAUUAUAUACUAAAUUAAAGUAAGAAACCAGAAACUCAAGAAACUUUAAAAUGGUUUUAGGCCACCCGUCACAAGUAACUUGAUUGCCUGGGACUGACCUUUAUUGGUUGAGGGAUGGACAGCUAGCAAGAGAGGGGCUACACAGAAAUGAAUUUGAAACUCCAGACUAUAUGUGGAAGGAAGUUAGAUCAGAAGUGAGCUGAAAGUCUUGAACGAAAAAAGGCCCUAGUGUGAUCAAGAUGGGUGUUGGGUAGUUGGAAAUUGGAAUAAUAGAACCUGUAAUCAGAGAGUGGAUUUUGAAACAUUAAGAUUGCAAAACCGGAGUGGUCAAGGUAACUUGUGAAGUGAGGUUGUCAGAUGGUCAGUUACAUAAAUACUGAAGUGACCCGGGACUAUACAAAAGCCAAGCUGGGAAUGAACUCUGGAGGCCAGGUAAUAGGCCUUGAUGCCUGAGGAGUGAUUUAGAGGUUGGCACAUGGCAACUGUGCAGGUGUAAGAGAAGAAAGGAUGUAGUGGGAUAGUUGUACGAGCCAUGGAGGAGCCAUGGAGGAGCGGUAGGGAUCAUUAGAAGUUACCAAAACCAUGAUCUGCACAUUGCUCCGAGGUGUUGGCUUGCAGAAUGCCCAGCUAAAGUGAUCCCCUCCUCUAUCGGGUGCUUGCUCUAUACCCAGCACCUUGCUGUGUGCUAACCAUUUACCCCUUCUGGGUCUGUCACAUAUCAGGUAUGAGAAAAUGAGCAGCAUUCCCAAGCAAGGACAGCUAGGGGAGCUGCUGGCCCUUUGAAUUGAUGGAAUGCUGUGGCCAUCUCUACAGACUGGUCAGCUUGAAGUGGCAUCAAAAGAUUUCUUUUGGACCCAAAUUUUUCCUUGACCUUGACCUAACUUUAUCCACAUGGUAUAAGUUUGUGUUGGCUGUUCCAUAACGUACUUUGACUUCUGAGUCUCUGACUUGAGGAGUAUGCUAGAACUGUCCUUUAAAAAACAACAGGCACAUCACAUUAAAAACACAGAUUAAUUAACUAGAACAAGGGGGCCCUGUUACCUAAUUGAGCUUUUAAGAUAAAGGAUAGACAAAAGAAAGCUCCCAUCGGUGUGUAACAACAGCACUUUGUGACAGCCACUCUAAGGUCAGGAUACAUCUAGUUUAGUGGCCAUAUUGUACAUAUUCCCUGUGUUGUUGGGAAGAAGGGCUGGAGAUUGAUGCAGAGAGAUGUCCCUUAGGACUUGGAAUGUAAAGUUUAGGAGAAGAGAAUCUCCGUGAAUCCUGUGACAUUGCAUGUCAUCAUUUUUCCUCUGUUAUAGUCUUUGAAUGAGUCAAUAUUUCAAUGAAGGGGUAGAGCCCUUGAGACAGAGUUCCCAGGCCCUCAGAUGGUGCAUCCCCUCCUUUGGGGCUGCUUUAUAUUUAUUCCUCAGGAGGAUCUGGUAGAAAACUUCGUGUGAGGAAGAAGAAAAAGAAAGAAGCAGAGAAUGACUACAGCCUGUCUUCAUAUCGGCUUCACAAAGCACGACUCAACAGAGGGCUUACUCUCUUGAGACUCCAGACCACAGGCCAUCUGUAACAGCCUUUCAUCUGGGAGGAGCCUUGUGAAUGAGUGAAUGAAGCUUCAGUGAGUGUUUACAGUGACACCCAUGUUUUUCUAUGGAUAUAAGGAGAAAGAAGGAGGCUAUGAAAUGCCAUCAUGGAGUAACAAAAAUUUGACAUUUUAGUGGAUAUUGGACCUAGAAGCCUACAUGAAUGAAGGAAGCAAACCUGAGAUUCUGAUGUUUGUGAGUGAAGAUAGCAGUGAACUCCUUACUGCUGUUAGUAAUGGAAGAAGAGAGGGGAGAAAAGUGAGGGAGGUCAUACAGUCCUUCACUUCAGUGGAGGGCGUGCUGAGACUUGCUUCAUAAACCAGUAACUUAUUAAGAUGGAUUGGAGAAGAAUUGUUGCACUGUACUAUUUCUUUUGCUGUUUGUGUGAAGUCACUGCCAGGCACUGUCCUCAGGUAGAGCUGCCUUUGUGGAGGUUUCUGUUGACCCCUAAUGAGAAACAACCCAGAACAAGGUUUGCGACUUAGAACUCUCUGGUUCGGUGACAGAGUUUUAAAGAGGUCGAGGACAGAGGAAAGAGCACAAAUAGUACCAGAUAGCCUAGUUUUUCUUAUUGGAUGGGCAAGGUAGAGGCAGAGGGCACAAUGAUUCUAGGCAACUCCAAACCCCUGGUAAGGCAUUAGGAAACAAUAUAAUGAAAGGUUAGCCCUUAGACCUAGUGAUUUGUCAUUCCCCAGAGCGUGAUAGAUUAUCUAAAAGAACAAGGAGAGCUGCUUUGGAGAAAAGUUCUAAAUGAUUCUUUCAGAGAACAGAUUUAAAAGAUGGGGAGCUUCCUGUUAUGUAAUAUGGGCAUUACAGCUUUUAAAGACUUCUGUUCCAAAUAGCCAAAUUAUGGAAAGCGCCUAAAUGUCCAUCAGCUGAUGAAUGGAGAAAGAGAUUGUGGUUUAUAUACACAAUGGAAUACUACUUGGCAAUGAGAAAGAAUGAAAUAAUGGCCUUUUGUAGCAACGUGGGUGGAACUGAAGAGUGUUAUGUUAAGUGAAGUAAGUCACACAGAGAAAGACAGAUACCAUAUGUUUUCACUCUUAUGUGGAUAUGGAGAAACUUAACAGAAGACCAUGGGGGAGGGGAGAAAAAAAAAAGGAGGGAGCCAAACCAUAAGAGACUCUUAAAAACAGAAUAAACUGAGGGUUGAUGGGGGGGCGGUGGGAGGGAGAGGAAAGUGGGUGAUGGGCAUUGAGGAGGGCACCUGUUGGGAUGAGCACUGGGUAUUGUAUGGAAACCAAUUUGACAAUAAAUUUCAUAUAAAAAAAAUAAAGACUUCUGUUCCCUACCUAGAUCAUGGAAGCUGACACUAGUAUCAGCCUAUGGCUGCAUAGGCCAGUAUUAACAUAGAAGUAUCGUGCUCUUGGAGAGAUCUUGCCACUCUCUUGCUUUGACAGGUGUUCAGCUGCAAUACAAGUCCAGUGCUUGAAGAAGCAAAGAGGGCAACAAGCCUCCAGGGGACAACAGUGUAGUCUUCUAAGUGAAGAUAGCAACAGAAGAGAUCAUGGACUUGGCUGGAUUGGGCUGGGCUUGUUUGUUUGUUCAAAAUUUUAAAAAUACUUUUUUUCUUGACCAUAAAAGUAACAUGAUCAUUGUUGAAAAAUGAAACGAAAGGUAUAAAUUAAAAAGUAAAGAACACCUAUAAUAUAACCAAGAAAACAACUCAACAUUUGAGUGUUUCCCUUUGUUCUUGUAAAAAAGAAUGUGUGGAACACAAUUUUUAAAGUUUUUUUUUUAAUUCCAGUUAGUUAACAUACAGCACUCUAUUAGUUUCAGGAGUAUGACUUAAAAACAAAAUUGACAUAUUGUAUAUGUUGUUCUCUAACUUUUUUCAUUUGAAAAUAAACAUUUCUAUAUCAUUGACAUUCUUUGAAAACAUAGCAUUUUUUUUUACAGGGCUGUUGUGUUAUUUUUUUUCAAUAUAUGAAGUUUAUUGUCAAAUUGGCUUCCAUACAAUACCCAGUGCUCAUCCCAAAAGGUGCCCUCCUCAAUACCCAUCACCCACCCUCCGCUCCCUCCCACCCCCCAUCAACCUUCAGUUUGUUCUCAGUUUUUAAGAGUCUCUUAUGCUUUGGCUCUUCUCCACUCUAACCUCUAAAACACAGUAUUAGGUGUUACAUAAUAUUUCAUAUGAAUCUAACAGAAUUUAUGUAAGAAAAUCACAUGCUACUGGACAUGUUGGAUAUUACCAAUUUUGCCUAUAAAAUAUAAUAAACAUCAUUGUAUGUUAAUUAUUAUGUGCAUUUCUAAUUAUUUCUUUGCAAUAAAUUUCCAGAAUUGGACUCAC